GGAGAAAGGAGGCAUGUAGAAUUUGUCCUUCGGCAAGGUUGGCAACAAAGAUGUUGGGGCUCUUCAGAAUCAUCGGUGCCGGAGUUUCUGGCAUCCGAUCCUGAGAAUUCCCACGUGAGCUGAGCAGCAUUUGUGCAAGUCAUGGUACGGAUGCUGACCAUGCAGCAGGGGUGUUUUGGUUGUAGUGGCUCCUGCAGAGUAAUUGGACAUUGUUCCUGACUGCCCAGCAUCCAAGCCUUGUUCUCAAGCUCUCUCAGAGCGUCUGUGAGCUACCUGCCAGCCUUUAAUUCCUUUUUCAUUUAAGCCACUUAAAACCCUGACUGAAACAGGAAGAAGAGGAUAUACUCUUUUUUUCUAGACACAGCUUUUGGGAUAACUUGUAAGAUUUUUGUUUGUUAUAAAGCUAGGGAAAUUUUCAUAUGGAAUUCCUGGCCUCAAGAAAGGAAGAAAGAAUGAAUACAAUAUAAUGGCUAUAAUCUGGAAUUGAUUAAAGAUCCAGUAAAUGUGUUAAAGCAAUCUCAGCUGAGUAAAGAUCCUGAGAUAAAGAUUCAAAUAAAAGCAGGUUGUUUGGCAGGUGAAGGAAACACCAACAGGUGAGUGAGAUGUGAGAGAAGAUGAAGGCAGCUGGUAAAGAGUCUGUUACAAGCCAGCCUCCACCAUGGGCAGCUGGAGCUGAAGCCUACUCCGGAAAACAGUGUUCCACUCACCCCCCAGAGUCACCACGACCAACUCCUAUGCUUCCUGCUGUCAAGCAUCGGACUCCAAGUUCUUCAGUUUUGAGAGUCGGACUGGCUCUUCUUGCUCUUCAAGCUCAC
rnacentral:lncRNA from 10 species